rnacentral:rRNA from 1 species
CCUACGGGAGGCAGCAGUGAGGAAUAUUGGUCAAUGGGCGGAAGCCUGAACCAGCCAAGUAGCGUGCAGGAUGACGGCCCUACGGGUUGUCAACUGCUUUUAUACGGGAAUAACGCGCCUUACGUGUAGGGCUUUGCAUGUACCGUAUGAAUAAGGACCGGCUAAUUCCGUGCCAGCCGCCGCGGUAAUACGGAAGGUCCGGGCGUUAGCCGGAUUUGUUGGGUUUAAGGGGAGCGUAGGCCGCAUGUCAAGCGUGCUGUGAAAUGUCCGGGCUCAACCCGGGCCUUGCAGCGCGAACUGGCGUGCGUGAGUCCGCGGAAAGCAGGCGGAAUUCGUCGUGUAGCGGUGAAAUGCUUAGAUAUGACGAAGAACCCCGAUUGCGAAGGCAGCUUGCUGCAGCGGAACUGACGCUGAUGCUCGAAAGCGCGGGUAUCGAACAGGAUUAGAUACCCCAGUAGUC